rnacentral:lncRNA from 1 species
AAAAGAGAGAUCACACCCAAAUUGUAUCAAAGGUUUGAUCAAGUCAUCAUCAAAAUCAAUCAUCUCCUUUGGUGGAUUAGGGUUUUCACCCCAUCAACACCAGAGAUCCAUUGAGUUUCAGGAGACCUAUGAUCAAAACAAUCAUGAUCCAUGUUGAACAGAAGUCAUCAAAGGUAAAAGAAAUACAAAAUGAAAUAAAAUAAAAUAAAAGGCAUGAAAAACAUUAUUCAAAAUGAAUUUUAAAACGGAAAUAAAAGAGAAAAU